rnacentral:rRNA from 1 species
AGACCGCCCGUACCGCAAACCGACACAGGUAGUCGGGUCGAGAAGACCAAGGUGAGCGAGAGAACUCUCGUUAAGGAACUCGGCAAAAUGACCCCGUAACUUCGGGAGAAGGGGUGCUGAUCGCAAGAUCAGCCGCAGUGAAUAGGCCCAGGCGACUGUUUAUCAAAAACACAGGUUUCUGCAAAAUCGUAAGAUGAAGUAUAGGGGCUGACGCCUGCCCGGUGCUGGAAGGUUAAGAGGAUGGGUUAGCGCAAGCGAAGCUCAGAAUUGAAGCCCCAGUAAACGGCGGCCGUAACGAUAACGGUCCUAAGGUAGCGAAAUUCCUUGUCGGGUAAGUUCCGACCCGCACGAAAGGCGUAACGAUCUGGGCACUGUCUCAACGAGAGACUCGGUGAAAUUAUAAUACCCGUGAAGAUGCGGGUUACCCGCGACAGGACGGAAAGACCCCAUGGAGCUUUACUGUAGCUUGAUAUUGGGUGUUUGUACAACUUGUACAGGAUAGGUAGGAGCCGUAGAAGUCGGGACGCUAGUUUCGACGGAGGCAUCGGUGGGAUACUACCCUCGUUGUAUGAACACUCUAACCCACGCCGGCAAUCACGGCGGGAGACAGUGUCAGGUGGGCAGUUUGACUGGGGCGGUCGCCUCCUAAAAGGUAACGGAGGCGCCCAAAGGUUCCCUCAGAAUGGUUGGAAAUCAUUCGCAGAGUGUAAAGGCAUAAGGGAGCUUGACUGCGAGACCUACAAGUCGAGCAGGGACGAAAGUCGGGCUUAGUGAUCCGGUGGUUCCGCAUGGAAGGGCCAUCGCUCAACGGAUAAAAGCUACCCUGGGGAUAACAGGCUUAUCUCCCCCAAGAGUCCACAUCGACGGGGAGGUUUGGCACCUCGAUGUCGGCUCAUCGCAUCCUGGGGCUGUAGUCGGUCCCAAGGGUUGGGCUGUUCGCCCAUUAAAGCGGUACGCGAGCUGGGUUCAGAACGUCGUGAGACAGUUCGGUCCCUAUCCGUCGCGGGCGCAGGAAAUUUGAGAGGAUCUGUCCUUAGUACGAGAGGACCGGGAUGGACAUACCGCUGGUGUACCAGUUGUUCUGCCAAGGGCAUCGCUGGGUAGCUAUGUAUGGAUGAGAUAAACGCUGAAAGCAUCUAAGUGCGAAACUCACCUCGAGAUGAGAUUUCCCACUCCUUUAUGGAGUUAAGACCCCUGAGAGAUGAUCAGGUAGAUAGGAUGGAAGUGGAAGUGCGGCGACGCAUGGAGCGGACCAUUACUAAUCGGUCGAGGACUUAACCG